rnacentral:rRNA from 1 species
UAAGUUCCUUGGAACAGGACGUCAUAGAGGGUGAUAACCCCGUAGUCGUCUACGUCACGGACCCAACGAGCAUUUUCGAAGAGUCGGGUUGUUUGGGAUUGCAGCCCUAAAUGGGAGAUAAACUUCUUCUAAAGCUAAAUAUUUAUGGGAAACCGAUAGCGAACAAGUACUGCGAAGGAAAGGUGAAAAGAACUUUGAAAAGAGGGUUAAAAGACUUGAAAUCGUUGAGAAGAAAGUGGUAGAAGAGUAAUCAUUUGUGUACGAUAUUCGGGUUGCUUGGAGGAUUGGUAAGGCUUU